CCUACGGGGGGCAGCAGUGAGGAAUAUUGGUCAAUGGACGAGAGUCUGAACCAGCCAAGUAGCGUGAAGGAUGACUGCCCUAUGGGUUGUAAACUUCUUUUAUAUAGGAAUAAAAUGUUCCACGUGUGGGAUUUUGUAUGUACCAUAUGAAUAAGGAUCGGCUAACUCCGUGCCAGCAGCCGCGGUAAUACGGAGGAUCCGAGCGUUAUCCGGAUUUAUUGGGUUUAAAGGGAGCGUAGGUGGGUUGUUAAGUCAGUUGUGAAAGUUUGCGGCUCAACCGUAAAAUUGCAGUUGAAACUGGCAGUCUUGAGUACAGUAGAGGUGGGCGGAAUUCGUGGUGUAGCGGUGAAAUGCUUAGAUAUCACGAAGAACUCCGAUUGCGAAGGCAGUUCACUGGACUGCAACUGACACUGAGGCUCGAAAGUGUGGGUAUCAAACAGGAUUAGAUACCCGAGUAGUC
rnacentral:rRNA from 1 species